rnacentral:rRNA from 1 species
ACUCCUACGGGAGGCAGCAGUGGGGAAUAUUGCACAAUGGGCGCAAGCCUGAUGCAGCCAUGCCGCGUGUAUGAAGAAGGCCUUCGGGUUGUAAAGUACUUUCAGCAGUGAGGAAGGUGGGUAUGUUAAUAGCAUAUUCAUUUGACGUUAGCUGCAGAAGAAGCACCGGCUAACUCCGUGCCAGCAGCCGCGGUAAUACGGAGGGUGCGAGCGUUAAUCGGAAUUACUGGGCGUAAAGCGCAUGCAGGUGGUUUGUUAAGUCAGAUGUGAAAGCCCGGGGCUCAACCUCGGAAUUGCAUUUGAAACUGGCAAACUAGAGUACUGUAGAGGGGGGUAGAAUUUCAGGUGUAGCGGUGAAAUGCGUAGAGAUCUGAAGGAAUACCGGUGGCGAAGGCGGCCCCCUGGACAGAUACUGACACUCAGAUGCGAAAGCGUGGGGAGCGAAACAGGAUUAGAUACCCCUGGUAGGCGU